UGGCUCAGGACGAACGCUGGCGGCGUGCUUAACACAUGCAAGUCGAACGGAGAUUUAGCAAUAGAAUCUUAGUGGCGAACGGGUGAGUAACGCGUAGGCAAUCUGCCUUCUAGAUGGGGACAACAUCCCGAAAAGGGGGUGCUAAUACCGAAUGUUGUAACGACUUCGCAUGAAGUUGCUACUAAAGGUGGCCUCUGAAUAUGCUACCGCUAGAAGAUGAGCCUGCGUCUGAUUAGCUAGUUGGAGGGGUAACGGCCCACCAAGGCUUCGAUCAGUAGCCGGUCUGAGAGGAUGAACGGCCACACUGGGACUGAGACACGGCCCAGACUCCUACGGGAGGCAGCAGUGGGGAAUCUUCCGCAAUGGACGAAAGUCUGACGGAGCAACGCCGCGUGAAGUGAAGAAGGUUUUCGGAUCGUAAAGCUCUUUCGUCAGGGACGAACGUGUUUCUUGUAAAUAAUGAGGGACAGUGACGGUACCUGAAUAAGAAGCCACGGCUAACUACGUGCCAGCCGCAGC
rnacentral:rRNA from 1 species